CAGUCGCCGCGGUAAUACGAAGGGGGCUAGCGUUGCUCGGAAUCACUGGGCGUAAAGGGUGCGUAGGCGGGUCUUUAAGUCAGGGGUGAAAUCCUGGAGCCCAACUCCAGAACUGCCUUUGAUACUGAAGAUCUUGAGUUCGGGAGAGGUGAGUGGAACUGCGAGUGUAGAGGUGAAAUUCGUAGAUAUUCGCAAGAACACCAGUGGCGAAGGCGGCUCACUGGCCCGAUACUGACGCUGAGGCACGAAAGCGUGGGGAGCAAACAGGAUUAGAUACCCGAGUAGUCCCUGUCUCUUAUAC
rnacentral:rRNA from 1 species